CCCUAUGGGGUGCCUUUGUAUCCGCUUGCCGGGGUGAUCUUGAUUGAGACUUCCGUACCUUUGAAUACCGCGCUCGGAUCCUUUACAUUCAAUGUUGCCGUGAACCCUUCGCCGGUUGGCACAUUGACUGAAUGAGUCACAGGGUUCCAAAUGGAAUACGAAUAGGCGUUCUUGACCUUUAUCUGAUCGUACAUUGCCUUUCCAAGCAUGUUGACGCCUAUGUCGUCGAACUUCUCUUUGACGACGAUGUCUUUGAACUGUUCGGGGUAUAGUACCUUGCCGAUGAAAUAUCCGUUGGCCAUCACGAGUUCGAGGUUCGCCCAAUACCAGUUGUAAUUCUGCUGGAUCCAAACGUUGCCUUUCUUGAAUGCGGAAAGCUCUGUGUAUCUGUUGGGGGGC
rnacentral:rRNA from 1 species